AUUUAUGUGCAUUGUGCAUCGACCAACAGUGUUUUGGUGACAAACGGACAUGGAUCGCCUCUAAAGUUCCGAUUCGAGAUUGGAAUCACGCAUUUAGCCUUCCCUAGACACGCCUGAAACAUCACAAAGCUUUCAUGAAAUUACUCACAUGUUCUACAAUGGCUCUGGAGUUUGGCGAGUGACAUAUUCCAACAGCGUAGCUUUGACAGUCACCAGAUGGUGUCCCAAAGCUUGCAAAUAAGAUUUUGGAGAUGUUCUUGUUAGUAGGGCAGCUUAAUCGGACCUUAGGCCUUCUACUUUUGUUCUUUGUUCUACUUGCCCUCUGUUUCUUUGCACUCAUCCAUGAAGCUACCAGAGGAUAAUGUGAUUCAGACACUUGCCCACAUGUUUUGCUAAUUGAAACAGAAUCCAAAGAUAUCCCAACUGGGCUUCCUGUUUCUUCUUCCAAAAUGACCAACAGGUUCUCAGUCGGCUUGAGGAAGGAACGUGGAACAUUAUACCUGGAUUCAAAGGAGAGAAUAUGGAAGGAAUUUUCAAAGGUGAGGUAUAAUAUAACACCAGAUAUUAAGAUCUGAAUAAACUGUUUACCAUUUCUGUGAAGGCUCCCCUGUUGGGGUGAGGAAGGAGACCCAGUAUCGGCCAAUACCCCAGCCGUUAACCCAAACUGCACCCUUCCCCAUGGAACCAAGGUUCAGUGCAAUUGGGUCAUCACCAGGAGGUGCAUCGAACUGAGUCUGCCCAAUUAAUGACGACAAAGGUCAGUUAAUGAACACUGAAUUCAGGAUAGUUGCUAUGCAAAUGGUCUAAAAAUUGAUUGUUGGUAGUACCUUGUACCAUGUGAGCGGCUGGGAAGAGUCUCCUAACCUGCUCCACUGAACAUUACUUGACCCAUUGUCUAAAAAUAUUUGCGAUUGC